GACCAUCCAUUUUCUAAUAAACUCUUCACUUUGGUGACCAUCAACUAAUCAUGGCAAAACAAAUUUACGCGUCAAUUUUGUUCAUCGUUCUCUUUUUUGCUCAAGAAAUGUCGAUACAAGUUGCGACAUCAAAAUGCAUACCCGAAAAUAAAAAUUUCCUAGGCCCAUGCACCUCUAACCUAGUUUGUCUUCAAAUUUGUCAAACACAAGGUUUUGAUGAUGGAGAAUGCAAUAUGACAAAUCUUCAUUGUACUUGCCUUAAAAGAUGCUCCGUGUCGAAGAAUGUUCACUUGGGUGAAGAGGAGGCUCCGGUCAAGACCUCAUCCAUGAAAGAAUAAAAAGCAUCGAGAAAUCUUUGUAUUAAGACUUAAGAUUGAAUUAAUAAAGAUUAUUUGCAACUGAUAUUUUAGAAGAA